rnacentral:lncRNA from 1 species
CACAGAACUAGAAACAUUGUGCCCCUUGAUUUUACCAACUAUGUUUAAAUUGCCCUGGAUUCACAAGAGACUCCGCCAUACCUCGCGACUUUAGGAUGACCACUUGCGGAAAUUCAGAACUCUUGGCAUGGCUGCGCAUGGAGGCCACCUGUGAUCCCUAGGAGGGAGCUGGGCAAACAGGCCAUUCCAGGAUUAUCACCCAGAAGCCAGUGAGGAGCAGGACAGGACAGUGGCCUGGGAUGCAUCAGGAAACAACCCUUUCCCUCAGCAGAAGCACACAGCAGUCACAUUUACUGAAAGGUUCUUUGGCUUUCC